UACGGAGGGGGCGAGCGUUGUCCGAAGUUACUGGGCGUAAAGCGCGCGUAGGUGGGAGCAAAAGUCCGCUGUGAAAGCCCGAGGCUCAACCUCGGAGGGUCGGUGGAUACUCUGCUUCUUGAAGGUGCUAGGGGAAGAUGGAAUUACCGGUGUAGCGGUGAAAUGCGUAGAUAUCGAGCGGAACACCAGUGGCGAAGGCGAGUCUCUGGACACUUCCUGACGCUGAGGCACGAAAGCCAGGGGAGCAAACGGG
rnacentral:rRNA from 1 species